rnacentral:rRNA from 1 species
AUUGAACGCUGGCGGCAGGCCUAAUACAUGCAAGUCGAGCGGAGCGGCGGACGGGUGAGUAAUGACUAGGAAUAUGCCUGGUCGUGGGGGAUGACGUCCGGAAAGGGGCGCUAAUACCGCAUACUACCAGAUGAGCCUAGGUCGGAUUAGCUAGUUGGAGGGGUAAAGGCCUACCAAGGCGACGAACCAUAACUGGGCUGAGAGGAUGAUUGGUCACACUGGAACUGAGACACGGUCCAGACUCCUACGGGAGGCAGCAGUAGGGAAUAGUGGGCAAUGGGCGAAAGCCUGAUCGAGCCAUGCCGCGUGAGUGAAGAAGGUCUUCGGAUCGUAAAGCUCUUUUAUUUGGGAAGCGUUACCUACAGAAUAAGCACCGGCUAACUUCGUGCCAGCAGCCGCGGUAAUUC